UACGGGGGGGGCAAGCGUUGUUCGGAAUUACUGGGCGUAAAGGGCUCGUAGGCGGCCAACUAAGUCAGACGUGAAAUCCCUCGGCUUAACCGGGGAACUGCAUCUGAUACUGGAUGGCUUGAGUUCGGGAGAGGGAUGUGGAAUUCCUGGUGUAGCGGUGAAAUGCGCAGAUAUCAGGAGGAACACCAAUGGCGAAGGCAGCACUCUGGGACGUGACUGACGCUGAGACGCGAAAGCGUGGGGAGCAAACAGG
rnacentral:rRNA from 1 species